AGUGUUGAGACAGAAUUUACAAGG
rnacentral:piRNA from 1 species